UUUUGUUAAUCCUCCCUCUGUUAUAGGGAGUUCCAGCCAAGAACUCAGAAGGGUAGAGGACACGACUGUUUUCUUCCCCUACACUUCAAAAGUAUGUUCUUGGUGUGCAUGUGUAUGUGGUACUGGGGAUGGAACCCAGGGCCUUACACUCAGCUACAUCCCCAGCCCUCCCUGAGAAACUUAAAAAUAAGUGUCAUUUAUUUCUGAAACAUCCAGUUGAGUCAGAGCUUCCAGUCCCUUUGACAAGUGCACAAAAACUAUUUCUGAUGAUGAGGGAAGCCGUGAUGUGAAUCUUCUAGAAUGGCAGCCAAUUUAAAAUGCACUUAUGUUUGGUUUUAUGAUAUGCUUUUGGUAUUUACACUUGAAGAUGAAUUUGAGGGAUGAUCUGGUUAUGAAUUCAUAAUCUCAAGAAACAGACUAAAGCCACCCUGAGAACCUGACUGGGCAGGAAUAGAAAGUUGUCCAAGAUUAUAAAGAAUCUUUUUCCAUUUCAGACACUCUCAGGGGACUAAUAUAUAGCACCAGACUAAAUGGAACACAGACGGUAUUUGCAGGAAACUGAAUGGGACAGGAAAAUAUACCAGAAGCAUAUGUCUGUAAGAACCUUAUAUGAAGAUCUGCCUAGGAUAUACUGUCAAAUCCAAAUAACUCCAUAAGUGAUUAACUUAUCUACACACAGAGGAGAGCAGGAAUCUGGCCCAAAGCUUAAGGUUCGCUGCCCACGUUGAUGUGUCCUGCCGGUCUGAUGUGUCCUGCCGGUCGGGAUAUUUGGCGCCCAACGUUGUGUGCUCGAGCCUUUGACUGAGAAGGAAUGCCGUCCUCCGGGAAGACUUGGCCAAGCGGAGCUUGAGAUCGCCUCGGCAGACAUGACCGAGAGACAGAUCCAGGAGGAGAGUGGGGAUGACUCACGAUGCAGCCAACAAUCUGUGUGAGGACCCUGCAUUAUAAACAGGCUGGUACAAUUUAUUAAAGAACAGAUUAAUAUUUUGGCCUCUAAGCCCAUAUAGGUCCACUAUCACCAUCUGGAGAUGGAAGACCGCGCUGCCAACAUUUAAAAGGAUGUUCUACCCUUCUCACAGGCUUAUUUAUUAAGUUUACAUCCCCACAGAUCUCUCUUUCUUAUAUAAAAGUAUAAGUAACAGCUCUGACCAACCAUCUUCUGCCCUUGCCAUAAGGGUUCGCUCCUCCAUGGGCCCCUCUGCUUGGGGGAGGACACACCCAUGGAGUGAGGACAGCACCCAUGGAGUGAGGACGUUAGGCCAUAAUAACGGAGGGUGCAGGAAGGACUGCAGGAGGACGGAUCCCAAAACCCAAGACCUCUGAGUGACACGCUCUGGUGCAUGGCGGUUGGCAUGCUUCCCCCUCAAAGCCGUCUCCUCCAAAAACAUGCCAAGGCCACCACGAAAUCUCCUAGUGAAGACGCGGAUCAGGAGAUAUUCUAAGGCCUCCUAGAGGAACAGAGCCUCUAUCACCCCCUAAAAACAUGGCCGGUAAGGUAUGGUCAAAUAUUUUAUAUAAGAAAGGCGGAAAUGUCAGGGGCUAGAAGGAAAUUCUCCUUCAAAGAAUAGCCUGACAGCCCCCUGGGAGACAUCCUGCAGCUACCUAUCUCCCUGGAACAUCCUGCGGUUAUCAGGAUCAGACAUCCUGGAGCUGGCAGUUUUACCACCCACAUCCAGCAACUGCUGAUUAGAGAGCUUCCCCAUCCCCAGCAUAUAAAUACCCCUGUGUGAACAAUAAAAGUUUGCAUGCUUGAUCAGAAUUCCUGUCUUGCUGUCAUCCUUCAUGUCUCUUGUCCCUUCAUUCCUCCCCAUCUAGGUUCGCUGCCCAUGUUGUUGAUGUGUCCUGCCGGUCGGGACAAAGCUGACUAAUACACCUAAGUUCUACCCACCCCUUUGGUUGCUGUGUG